rnacentral:rRNA from 1 species
UACAGAGGGUGCAAGCGUUGUCCGGAAUCACUGGGCGUAAAGGGCGCGUAGGUGGCCUGGUAAGUAGGGGGUGAAAUCUCGCGGCUCAACUGCGAGGCUGCCUCCUAAACUGUCAGGCUCGAGCAGAGUAGAGGCAGGUGGAAUUCCCGGUGUAGCGGUGGAAUGCGUAGAGAUCGGGAAGAACAUCGGUGGCGAAGGCGGCCUGCUGGGCUCUUGCUGACACUGAGGCGCGACAGCGUGGGGAGCAAACAGGG